UACAAAAUAUCACAGGAACAAGAAGAUAUUAGUUUUUUCAAGCAGGAUAAUAUACGUUCAGCGUUAGACCAGGCAAAAAUUGCUGGCACAGAAGCUAGAAAGUCAAGGUUUAAGAUGUUGUUUUCGUUGUGCGAUGAAAAAGANUCUCGAAAACGAAACACCAGGACAUCAAGAACGCAGUCGGCUGCUUCAAAACAUGUCCAGUCUUCAGACGAAAGUGACGAGGAAGAAGAAUCUGUCAAACCAAAACAAGCAAAACGAAGAAAGAAAAACAAUUCAUCCGUAGAAUCUGACAGCGAUGAGUAACAGACCACCUCACCCCUCAAACAAUGAACAACAGCCCCACCUUCCUUGAAUCAUGAUGAAUAUCUUUAGAUCUCCUAGACGCGCAUUCCAGUCAAACAGGCCCAUUAGAAAUGAUUUAUCCACAAGGGUGACUGAUGGUGCUGUUUUUUAUUUGAAAAGAUUGGUCACUAUUGUAAUACUGGUUAAUAUAAUAAAAUUAUUGCUAGGCCGAUUAUAAAAA
rnacentral:lncRNA from 1 species